UGGGGAAUAUUGGACAAUGGGCGAAAGCCUGAUCCAGCCAUGCCGCGUGUGUGAAGAAGGUCUUCGGAUUGUAAAGCACUUUAAGUUGGGAGGAAGGGCAGUAAGUUAAUACCUUGCUGCUUUGACGUUACCGACAGAAUAAGCACCGGCUAACUCUGUGCCAGCAGCCGCGGUAAUACAGAGGGUGCAAGCGUUAAUCGGAAUUACUGGGCGUAAAGCGCGCGUAGGUGGUUUGUUAAGUUGGAUGUGAAAGCCCCGGGCUCAACCUGGGAACUGCAUCCAAAACUGGCAAGCUAGAGUACGGUAGAGGGUGGUGGAAUUUCCUGUGUAGCGGUGAAAUGCGUAGAUAUAGGAAGGAACACCAGUGGCGAAGGCGACCACCUGGACUAAUACUGACACUGAGGUGCGAAAGCGUGGGGAGCAAACA
rnacentral:rRNA from 1 species